rnacentral:rRNA from 1 species
CCUACGGGUGGCUGCAGUGAGGAAUAUUGGUCAAUGGACGCAAGUCUGAACCAGCCAAGUAGCGUGCAGGAUGACGGCCCUCCGGGUUGUAAACUGCUUUUAGUUGGGAAUAAAAGGGGGCUCGUGAGCCCCGUAUUGUAUGUACCAUCAGAAAAAGGACCGGCUAAUUCCGUGCCAGCAGCCGCGGUAAUACGGAAGGUCCGGGCGUUAUCCGGAUUUAUUGGGUUAAAGGGGUGCGCAGGCGGUCUGUUAAGUCAGCGGUCAAAGCCCGGGGCCAAACCCCGGCCCGCCGUUGAAACUGGCAGUCUCGAGUUGGAGAGAAGUAUGUGGAAUGCGCGGUGUAGCGGUGAAAUGCACAGAUAUCGCGAAGAACUCCGAUGGCGAAGGCAGCAUGCCGGCUCCACACUGACGCUGAGGCACGAAAGCGUGGGUAUCGAACAGGAUUAGAUACCCUAGUAGUC